rnacentral:tRNA from 1 species
GGCUGGGUAGCUCAGUGGAUUGAGAGCCAAGCCUAGAGGUGGGAGGCCCAGGUUCGAAUCCGGCCUCAGCCA